rnacentral:rRNA from 1 species
UACGUAGGUGACAAGCGUUAUCCGGAAUUACUGGGCGUAAAGCGCACGCAGGCGGCCGAGCAAGUCUGACGUGAAAUCUCCCGGCUUAACCGGGAGCGGUCGUUGGAAACUACUUGGCUUGAGGCGAUGAGAGGGGUGUGGAAUUCCCGGUGUAGUGGUGGAAUGCGUAGAUAUCGGGAGGAACAUCAGUGGCGAAAGCGGCACCCUGGCAUUAGCCUGACGCUCAGGUGCGAAAGCGUGGGGAGCGAACGGG